rnacentral:rRNA from 1 species
UACGUAGGGCGCGAGCGUUGUCCGGAAUUAUUGGGCGUAAAGAGCUCGUAGGCGGCUUGUCACGUCGGGUGUGAAAGACCGGGGCUUAACUCCGGUUCUGCAUUCGAUACGGGCUAGCUAGAGUGUGGUAGGGGAGAUCGGAAUUCCUGGUGUAGCGGUGAAAUGCGCAGAUAUCAGGAGGAACGCCGGUGGCGAAGGCGGAUCUCUGGGCCAUUACUGACGCUGAGGAGCGAAAGCAUGGGGAGCGAACAGG